CACGAACGCUGGCGGCAGGCUUAACACAUGCAAGUCGAGCGCCCCGCAAGGGGAGCGGCAGACGGGUGAGUAACGCGUGGGAAUCUACCCAUCUCUACGGAAUAACGCAUGGAAACGUGUGCUAAUACCGUAUACGUCCUUCGGGAGAAAGAUUUAUCGGAGAUGGAUGAGCCCGCGUUGGAUUAGCUAGUUGGUGGGGUAAAGGCCUACCAAGGCGACGAUCCAUAGCUGGUCUGAGAGGAUGAUCAGCCACACUGGGACUGAGACACGGCCCAGACUCCUGCGGGAGGGAGCAGUGGGGAAUAUUGGACAAUGGGCGCAAGCCUGAUCCAGCCAUGCCGCGUGAGUGAUGAAGGCCCUAGGGUUGUAAAGCUCUUUCACCGGUGAAGAUAAUGACGGUAACCGGAGAAGAAGCCCCGGCUAACUUCGUGCCAGCCGCCGCCGUAAUAC
rnacentral:rRNA from 1 species